UCGGAAUUACUGGGCGUAAAGCGUGCGUAGACGGUUACGUAAUUCGGAUGUGAAAUCCCCGGGCUCAACCUGGGAAUUGCAUUCGAGACUGCGCAGCUGGGGUGCGGAAGAGGGAAGCGGAAUUUCCGGUGUAGCGGUGAAAUGCGUAGAUAUCGGAAGGAACAGCAGUGGCGAAAGCGGCUUCCUGGUCCAGCACCGACAUUCAGGCACGAAAGCGUGGGGAGCGAACAGG
rnacentral:rRNA from 1 species